UUGGAUCAGCCUUGACUAACCCUAGGGAUUUGUUUCCUUCCCUUCUCAAAACUAGAAAAGAGAACAUAUAUAAUGAAACUCCAUAACAUACACACAAUCAGAUUGCAAAUGGGAGCAAGCAUGAAUAGUAAAAGAGUCUCGAUGAAUUGGGAAACCAUUUUGGCUGUCAUGUUAGUGGUUUGUACAGGUGUUAGGGCGGAUUCAGGCGUAUCAGAUAUGCCUAUUACAGAAGUUCUGGCCAAAUUUGGGCUACCCAUUGGCCUUCUUCCCGAUUCUGUCAAGUCUUAUUCCCUUGCAGAUGACGGGGAAUUCAGGGUUGAUCUUGAGAAGCCCUGUUAUGUUCAGUUCAAUUACCUUGUGUACUAUGACAAUAAAAUCACAGGAAAACUCACCUAUGGGAAAAUUAGUGAUCUGGAUGGUAUUGAGGUAAGGAAGUUCUUCAUAUGGGUUAACAUUAAAGGGAUUGAGGUGGACGUUCCAUCUUCAGAUUUUGUAUAUUUCAAAGUGGGUAUCAUUUCUAAGAAGAUUGAGAUUUCCUGGUUUGAAUCUGUUCCUACCUGCAAGGAUUCCCUUGGGAAUGAGCCCUGCAAUGACAUUCAGAUAGCAUGAACAAGCGAGAGUUGGAAUGAAUAUCGAAUACCCUCAUUGAGCAAAUUGGGGAUGGAGUUUCACAUCUGGGGUAUGCUAAUUGAAAAACAUUUCAUCUGAAAUACGCAUAUUCAUUGGCAGUAAAGAUCUGUUUUGAAUCAGUUCUGAAAAAUUCAUAUGAAUUUUAUGGGUUUUCCGAGUAAAAUUGAAGGAAAGUUCUGAGGUUCUCAUGAACAGAUGUGUAGGUCGGUUCUGAGAUUCUUAUGAACAGAUGUUUAAAUGGGGCUCACAGAUGCCUUUCAAAAUGCUUGGAUUUUUAGAGACAAUUAGGUCAAUUUCCAUUUUUCAAAUUACUAUGAGGAAUCAGAUGUCUCUCUUAUAAUAACUUUUUAA